AUCUGAAUCAUGAAGCCAAGUUUUAAAAAAAGAACCCUAAUUUGUUCUAAAACAGUUGCUUCCCAUUUUCUUACGAAACACACUCGUCAAACUCACCACAAGAAAAAGAUCAACUCUCACGAUCUCUCUUUCUCUCUUCUAAAAUCGUGCAUCCCCCAUUCAGUUUGCAUAAACCACAAUUUUCGUCCUAAACAAAACUCUCCCUCAUCUCUCUUAUAUGUAAUUGAGAUUUAGAGAAAACAAGCUAGCAAAAUCCCCUGGUAAAAAAAUCAAAAUCAACCUCAGAAACUAAGUCCUCUCAAACACGACACUUUACAUGUUAUGGAAAAUAUAGCAACAUCAAAAUGCACAAAAAAAAGGAAUUGUACAUAAAAGAAAGAAACAAAACAAAGGCGACACAAGACAAACGAAAAUGGUUACAAUCCCAAAGCAAGUAGUAUAUGAGAAAGGAUGCAAAAAACGAGCUACUUAUUUGACUAACAGUUCUGACGCAAAUACCAGACAAAACAAGUGCUCAAAUGGUGUAUGAGGUGUUGUACUAUGUUUCUACGUGGGCUGAAUUUUUUAUGCUCCACUAUUCAUGACAGCAAGCCACAAUAACAUAUAGAGCUCAAAGUUGAGAGGAUCCAUUUGAGAAAGCCCUCCCCCUUUAAUUAAUUUAAAAAUUGAUGUAAAUACCACUUAUGUAUUAUGUAAAAUAAAUAAAUGAGAGAUUAAUCUUGAUAGCAAAAUGUUUUCUUAAUAUAAUGGUGUUUAAUUA